rnacentral:rRNA from 1 species
CACGUAGUUAGCCGGGGCUUCUUCUGAAGGUACCGUCACUCCACAGAGCUAUUAACCCUGGAAGCUUCGUCCCAACUGAAAGGGGUUUACAACCCGAAGGCCUUCUUCCCCCACGCGGCGUUGCUGCGUCACGCUUUCGCGCAUUGCGCAAGAUUCCCCACUGCUGCCUCCCGUAGGAGUCUGGGCCGUGUCUCAGUCCCAGUGUGGCUGAUCGUCCUCUCAGACCAGCUACCCAUCGUCGCCUUGGUAGGCCGUUACCCCACCAACAAGCUAAUGGGCCGCGGGCCGUCCCGAUGCGAAGGCCGAAGCUAUCUUUUCUGAACUCCCUUACGAGAGUGCAGAACAUCCGGUAUUAGCCCGAGUUUCCUCGGGUUGUCCCGGUCAUCGGGUAGGUUACCCACGUGUUACUCACCCGUUCGCGGCUCUGCCACGGGCCGAAGCCCGCUUCGUCGCUCCACUUGCAUGUGUUAAGCACGCCGCCAGCGUGUCUCGUAGCGACGACGUCGAAACUACCUACGUCGUAGUACGUAGUCCGAA